UACCAGCACCCCGAGUGGUCGGGACGAUUAUUGGGCCUAAAGCAUCCGUAGCCGGUCCUACAAGUCUUCCGUUAAAUCCACCUACUUAACAGAUGGGCUGCGGAAGAUACUAUAGGGCUAGGAGGCGGGAGAGGCAAGCGGUACUCAGUGGGUAGGGGUAAAAUCCUCUGAUCCAUUGAAGACCACCAGUGGCGAAGGCGGCUUGCCAGAACGCGCUCGACGGUGAGGGAUGAAAGCUGGGGGAGCAAACCGG
rnacentral:rRNA from 1 species